rnacentral:lncRNA from 10 species
AGCACAAACUAUAGACUCUAUCAGUGUCAGCCAGCUGCACUUGAUCCUGUACGGAAUGGCUCUGAAACUUUUCAUAUUUCUUAUGGAAUAGUAGCACUUUGGGAUGUAUGUGGAUGUGGAGCCAGAGACAAGGUUGCAAAGCUGCCACAUAUCUAUUUGAGCAGAGCAUUCCUGAACAGAAGCUUUGACACAUGUUCUUUUCUCAUUCCUGGCAUCUCAUACAUGUUUAAGCUAUAGUAAAAUUCAAUGGUUAGCUGUUUCUUCUAAUACAGAAGCCAGCAUUUAUUAUAUUAGUUAUGAUAUCCAAUUUAUGAAGUAAAUAUAAUUUUUUUUUUUU